AAUAUCACGAAGACUCCAAUUGCGAGGCAGCUACCCGGGUACAACUGACGCUGAGGCACGAAAGUGUGGGUAUCAAACAGGAUUAGAUACCCUGGUAGUCCACCCAGUAAACGAUGAAUACUCGCUGUUUGCGAUAUACCGCAAGCGGCCAAGCGAAAGCAUUAAGUAUUCCACCUGGGGAGUACGCCGGCAACGGUGAAACUCAAAGGAAUUGACGGGGGCCCGCACAAGCGGAGGAACAUGUGGUUUAAUUCGAUGAUACGCGAGGAACCUUACCCAGGCUUAAAUUGCAGAUGAAUAUAGUAGAAAUAUUAUAGCCUUCGGGCAUCUGUGAAGGUGCUGCAUGGUUGUCGUCAGCUCGUGCCGUGAGGUGUCGGCUUAAGUGCCAUAACGAGCGCAACCCUUAUUGAUAGUUACUAACAGGUUAAGCUGAGGACUCUAUCGAGACUGCCGUCGUAAGAUGCGAGGAAGGUGGGGAUGACGUCAAAUCAGCACGGCCCUUACGUCUGGGGCUACACACGUGUUACAAUGGGGGGUACAGAA
rnacentral:rRNA from 1 species